GGGGGCGUUCUGGUUUCGACGGGAUGUUCGACGCGCUGACUGCACGUGGAGGUUGAUCGGUUGGCCUCCUUAAUAGCCGAUCAAAACAAAUAAAUGCAGACUCUAACGAGCUCGCACUGGCUGCUUAAUUGACGGCCACGUCUGAACCCCGACGCCUGUUACGGAGGAAGACGACACCUAACAGGCUGGGCAUGAAAUCGGGUGACCGGAUCGAUUGUCGAGAAACAACAGGUCUCUAGGAAAGCGACGCCGCAUGAGGGCCGAGUUUCUCCGAAUCACUGACCCCAUGCUAAACGUGUAGAUGUCAUCGCCGACAGCGUCUCGGACAGGGGUUCGACUCCCCUCGCCUCCAUGC
rnacentral:tmRNA from 1 species